UACUGAACAGUAAAACAAGAUAACUGCUUUUUGUAACUGAAAAAGUAGUAGGAUUUAAGUUCAUACUCGAAAGGCUCCUCAAAAGUAUCCUCAGUACAAGUCCAAUACAAAUAUCACAACAGGGAUGUCUUGCACCUUAUCCUGUUCCCACAUGGUUUAGAUCUACUCUAAUACAUCCCUAUAUCUUGAAAACUGAUUGAAGAGGACAGAGUGACUACCAUCUGAAGCCCUACCCAGGGCAAGGCCAGAUCUCUACCCUGUUCUGAGGUUUUCACAUCUUUCCCAGGAAGGUCUGAAGACUGCCAGGCAGCCAGGUUCCAGGUUUCUCAGCCAAAUAAUGCCAUGGAGUGGUCGCAUCUGUCUCUGUCCAAUUGGACAGUGUGAUAGAGACACAAAGAAAGUUCCAAUUCAACAUGCUUGAUACCAAGAGGGAAAGGAGAGAAAUACCACGUAGUCAAGGAUUUCAACAUCUGAUUGGUCACCCUAAAGAGCAUGUCCACCAAUCUGUACAGAUGGGCAAUGAGCUGGAUGCAGAGUUCAAAAGAAGAGUGAACCAUGUUGUUUUCAGGAAAUUGCAAAGCUCUUUUACUGACUCCAAGCUUUCUGUGAAAACAAGAUCCCACCGGAAGAUUCUCACACUGACUGAUGUGAGAUGCUGAACACCACUAUCUCUGAAGAGCAUCACAUCCAUCACAGAGAGAUCAUGGUCGCAACUGAAGCAACUGAAGCAGCAGAAAAACAAAGUGGGCUGAGGCAACAUUCCAUUCACAUAGUUCUGGACCCUUACAAAGAAGUAUAUGAGGUGCCUUCUUAUGUUCUCUCUUUGGGGUCGUGCCUGGUCAUUAUAGUCCCAUAGCAUUUAGUUUCAUCCUUGUUCUUUUCAUUGACAGUGCCAUAGUCACAUUUAUUGUUCUUAUUUCUGCUUACUUCCCUUUCCUUUAGUUUAUAUAUGUAUUCUAAUGCUUCUGUUAUAAACAUAUUCAUUGCUUCUUAGAGUCAAUCAAUAUUUUAUUACAUUCUUA